UGUCUCAAAGAUUAAGCCAUGCAUGUCUAAGUAUAAGCAACUAUACGGUGAAACUGCGAAUGGCUCAUUAAAUCAGUUAUCGUUUAUUUGACAGUACCUUACUACAUGGAUAACCGUGGUAAUUCUAGAGCUAAUACAUGCUAAAAACCCCGACUUCGGAAGGGGUGUAUUUAUUAGAUAAAAAACCAAUGCCCUUCGGGGCUCCUUGGUGAAUCAUAAUAACUUAACGAAUCGCAUGGCCUUGCGCCGGCGAUGGUUCAUUCAAAUUUCUGCCCUAUCAACUUUCGAUGGUAGGAUAGUGGCCUACCAUGGUAUCAACGGGUAACGGGGAAUUAGGGUUCUAUUCCGGAGAGGGAGCCUGAGAAACGGCUACCACAUCCAAGGAAGGCAGCAGGCGCGCAAAUUACCCAAUCCCGACACGGGGAGGUAGUGACAAUAAAUACUGAUACAGGGCCCUUUUGGGUCUUGUAAUUGGAAUGAGUACAAUUUAAAUCCCUUAACGAGGAACAAUUGGAGGGCAAGUCUGGUGCCAGCAGCCGCGGUAAUUCCAGCUCCAAUAGCGUAUAUUAAAGUUGUUGCAGUUAAAAAGCUCGUAGUUGAACCUUGGGCCUGGCUGGCCGGUCCGCCUCACCGCGUGUACUGGUCCGGCCGGGCCUUUCCUUCUGGGGAGCCGCAUGCCCUUCACUGGGCGUGUCGGGGAACCAGGACUUUUACUUUGAAAAAAUUAGAGUGUUCAAAGCAGGCCUUUGCUCGAAUACAUUAGCAUGGAAUAAUAGAAU
rnacentral:rRNA from 1 species